rnacentral:rRNA from 1 species
AAUGAACGCUGGCGGCAGGCCUAACACAUGCAAGUCGAACGAGGCAGCAAUGCCUAGUGGCGGACGGGUGAGUAACGCGUGGGAACGUGCCCCUUGGUACGGAAUAGCCCUGGGAAACUGGGAGUAGUACCGUAUGUGGUCGAGAGACGAAAGAUUUAUCGCCAAGGGAUCGGCCCGCGUUGGAUUAGGUAGUUGGUGGGGUAAUGGCCUGCCAAGCCGACGAUCCAUAGCUGGUUUGAGAGGAUGAUCAGCCACACUGGGACUGAGACACGGCCCAGACUCCUACGGGAGGCAGCAGUGGGGAAUCUUAGACAAUGGGGGAAACCCUGAUCUAGCCAUGCCGCGUGAUCGAUGAAGGCCUUAGGGUUGUAAAGAUCUUUCAGUGGGGAAGAUAAUGACGGUACCCACAGAAGAAGCCCCGGCUAACUCCGUGCCAGCCGCCGCGGUAA